GAUGAACGCUGGCGGCGUGCCUAAUACAUGCAAGUCGAGCGAACAGACGAGGAGCUUGCUCCUCUGACGUUAGCGGCGGACGGGUGAGUAACACGUGGAUAACCUACCUAUAAGACUGGGAUAACUUCGGGAAACCGGAGCUAAUACCGGAUAAUAUAUUGAACCGCAUGGUUCAAUAGUGAAAGACGGUUUUGCUGUCACUUAUAGAUGGAUCCGCGCCGCAUUAGCUAGUUGGUAAGGUAACGGCUUACCAAGGCGACGAUGCGUAGCCGACCUGAGAGGGGGAUGUGGGCCACAGGGACAGAGACACGCGCUACACACCCAAGGGGGGGGCCAGAGGGGGAAAUUGGACAAAGGGGGAAAAACUGAGCCAGGCAAGCGGCGUGUGGGUAGAAAGGCUUUGGAGUGCAAAAAACUUUGUUUUGGGGGAAAAAGAAGUGUGUAAAUAACUUUCUCUGUUGACGCGAUCAACAGAAAAAAGACCGGGGCAACUUGCG
rnacentral:rRNA from 1 species